AAGGCUGUAUAGGCCUCGGAUCUCCAUCAUAUCAUCCCAUCAUAGAAAUGAACGACUAUCAGACAACCACCAAUAUUUCUUGUGAUAUACCUUGUUUGACCAUGUUUGACGGCCGUCUCCUCGAUGGGAUGAUGCAGCGGUAAUCAAGGCCUAUAUAGCCUCCUUUGAUGCAAAAGACAUACCGCAGAGGAUCCAAACUCAUGGUCCAAUUAUUUUGAGAAAUUCAAAGUGGUCCGGUUGUUCACCGCCUCGAUGGGAUGAUGCAGCGGUAAUCAAGGCCUAUACAGCCUCCUUUGAUGUAAAAGACACACCGCAAAGGAUCCAAACUCAUGGUCCAAUUGUUUUGAGAAAUCCAAAGUGGUCCGGUUGUUCACCACCUCGAUGGGAUGAUGCAGCGGUAAUUAAGGCCUAUAUAGCCCCCUUUGAUGCAAAAGACACACCGCAGAGGAUCCAAACUCAUGGCCCAAUUGUUUUGAGAAAUCCAAAGUGGUCCAGUUGUUCACCACCUCGAUGGGAUGAUGCAGUGGUAAUCAAAGCUUAUAUAGCCCCCUUUGAUGCAAAAGACACACCGCAGAGGAUCCAAACUCAUGGUCCAAUUGUUUUGAGAAAUUCAAAGUGGUCCGGUUGUUCACCGCAAUGCAAGCAUUUGCAACUAAUAGAUCUCCAUCAUCACAUAUCUGAUAGAUA
rnacentral:lncRNA from 1 species